rnacentral:piRNA from 1 species
UGGAAGUCCAAGGAUCUAG